rnacentral:rRNA from 1 species
AUACGAAAGGUGCAAGCGUUGUUCGGAUUUACUGGGCGUAAAGAGAGUGUAGGUUGUUUAUUAAGUCGGAUGUGAAAUCCCGGGGCUCAACCCCGGAACUGCAUUCGAUACUGAUAGGCUAGAGUUCGGGAGGGGUAGGCGGAAUUCCGUGUGUAGCAGUGAAAUGCGUAGAUAUACGGAGGAACACCUGAGGCGAAGGCGGCUUACUGGACCGAUACUGACACUGAGACUCGAAAGCGUGGGUAGCAAACAGGAUUAGAAACCCCAGUAGUCC